UAUAUGUGGGAACGGUUUAAUUGUCUCCAUGAGGAUUCUUAGUAAUCAGGAUGCCAGUGUGUGUUUUCCAGAGCCUAGAGCUGACAUAAAUAAUGUAGCGUGGCUCGCUCUGUGCAGGCUUGCUGAGGAAUGCUGAUGGAGAGAGCCAAACGGGGAUCUGAGGCUCCCGGCUCCCGGCGCAGCCUUUAAAAUCCUUUUAUUGAGUAGUAGUGUUGAAACCACACCCGGGCCUCGGCGGGCGGGCGGUGGAUGCCAGGAGAAGCCGACAGAGGAGAAACUUUAGGGGGAGCUGCCUCGCUGGGUGUUUUGGAGGAUGCGAAUCUGGAUGGCUCCAGGGAACGACUGGUUAAUUUCAUGUUGCGUCCCUAAUCCCAGAAGGAGCAGGACGGUUCUGACAAGGCCCUGAAAGCCCGGCACUUGGGGUCUAGAAAAGAAGAUUAAAGCAGGAUCCGUUUAAUGUAUUUAGUUUGCCUCCCAGACAUGAAGCUUCAGAAUGGUCGUCCCAUUCCACCUACAUCUUCGUCUAGCCUCCUCCCAUCUGCUCAGCUGCCUAGCUCCCAUAAUCCUCCACCCGUUAGCUGCCAGAUGCCAUUGCUAGACAGCAACACCUCCCAUCAAAUCAUGGACACCAACCCCGAUGAGGAAUUCUCCCCCAAUUCAUACCUGCUCAGAGCAUGCUCAGGGCCCCAGCAAGCCUCCAGCAGUGGUGAAAUAAAACCCCUUCCAACACAAUCAGCCCAGGCAUGACCGUAAGCCAUAAUUCCCUGCUGUCCUCGAUGGUUGCUGUUAUUGCUUGGCAUUAGCGAAGGCCAUCAGUAGGGGAGUCACUGCACACAUUUCCUGCCCGAAGACCCUUUGUUCUAAAGAGACAACCAGACAUAAACUGCACAACUAAAAUGCUUUGGACAACAUGAAAAGCCCCUCAAAGCAACAGCAGUGCUUUACCUUUAUGGCUCUGUGUCAUUAUUUUCUAUGAGUGCAGCACGUUCUUUAGUGGAUGGUACUAAAACCUUGGCACCUUUGGAGCCAAGUCACUGUAACCUUCAUUCUGUGCCCAUCAAGCUGAUACCCAGGGACUCUAGUGAGAUGCUUAGAAGAGUGGCACCUCCCUUCCCUCCAGCGUCCUCUUCCCCCAAAGCUAAGCUCUGGCAGGUGGCUCAUCCUGUGUACGGCUUCUGCCAGGCCAGAUUAGCUCCAGAGUUGUUUCUUGUGUUAUAGCGGCCUAAUUUCAAACCCUAUGAAAUAACUCAUCUGGAAAGGAAAUCUGAAUCCGAGUGGCAGCGUAAUGGAGGGCCCUGCAGAUGCAAGCAUGAUGAGACUGCCUUUCAAACGGGAAUGGGGUCUGCACUUUGCUAUGAGCGUAUGAGGCAGAAAAUAAACGGGCAGCCACACUGUAAUCAAAAGCAUUGGCUUACCUCCCUCUCAUAAAAGGUUGCGUUUUCCGUUUUCUUAAAAGUCUGAAUGAAGGGGUUUAGAACACUCAUUAGUAGCAUCAGACAUAGGGAAGAAAUGUCACCGGAUACCUGUCAGACAGAGCCCUCCCACUCGGUCCUCUGUGACGGGGGAGCCCUCCCAGCUGCAAAGCCUCCAAGUGUAACUGAGCACGUUAAAGGUGCCCGGGCCCUUUCUUAAAAGCCAAUGUCUUGGUUCAAUUCUAAAUGAAACUUGUACAUCCAAACCAGCAAGUUUGGGGUUGCCUAGAGUGGCCCAAGAAUUCAACUGGCUAGAUCAUUUAAUGAUUAUCUUGGUUACCUGGCAUCAUAAAGCAAAAGAGCCUCAUUUAUUAAC